rnacentral:rRNA from 1 species
AUUGAACGCUGGCGGCAGGCCUAACACAUGCAAGUCGAGCGGAGCGGCGGACGGGUGAGUAAUGCCUAGGAAUCUGCCAGGGAGUGGGGGAUAACGACCGAAAAAGGGCGCUAAUACCGCAUACUAUCAGAUGAGCCUAGGUCGGAUUAGGUAGUUGGUGGGGGAACGGCGUACCAGGGCGACGAGCCCUAGCUGGUCUGAGAGGAUGAGCAGCCACACGGGAACUGAGACACGGUCCAGACUCCUACGGUAGGCAGCAGUGGGGAAUAUUGCACAAUGGGCGCAAGCCUGAUGCAGCCAUGCCGCGUGUAUGAAGAAGGCCUUCGGGUUGUAAAGUACUUUCAGCGGGGAGGCGUUACCCGCAGAAGAAGCACCGGCUAACUCCGUGCCAGCCGCCGCGGUAAUUC